rnacentral:rRNA from 1 species
UGAGGAAUAUUGGACAAUGGAUGGAAAUCUGAUCCAGCCAUGCCGCGUGAGUGAUGAAGGCCCUAGGGUUGUAAAGCUCUUUUGUGCGGGAAGAUAAUGACGGUACCGCAAGAAUAAGCCCCGGCUAACUUCGUGCCAGCAGCCGCGGUAAUACGAAGGGGGCUAGCGUUGCUCGGAAUCACUGGGCGUAAAGGGUGCGUAGGCGGGUCUUUAAGUCAGGGGUGAAAUCCUGGAGCUCAACUCCAGAACUGCCUUUGAUACUGAGGAUCUUGAGUUCGGGAGAGGUGAGUGGAACUGCGAGUGUAGAGGUGAAAUUCGUAGAUAUUCGCAAGAACACCAGUGGCGAAGGCGGCUCACUGGCCCGAUACUGACGCUGAGGCACGAAAGCGUGGGGAGCAAACA